UCAUCUGCCGGCGUCCCCCGCCGCUCUCUGCCGUCCCACGCUGCUCUCUGCCGUCCCCCGCCGCUCGCCGCCGUCCCCUGCCGUUCCCCAUCGCCUGCUGUUCCUCCGCUGAAACCACUCGCCCCCUCUUGCUGCCGUCCACCGUCGUCCCCCGUUGUUCCCCGCCACUCGACGCCGUCCCCCGUCGUCCCCCGUUGUUCCCCGCUGCUCACUGCUGUCCCCUGUUGUGCCCUGUCGUUCCCCGCUGCUGUUCCCCGCUGCUUGCCGUCAUUCCCCGUCGUCCCCUGCCGUCCCCUGCUGCUCGCCACCGUCCCCUGCCGCUGUCCCCCGCUGUCUCCCUCUGUCCCCUGCCGUCGUUCCCCGCCGUUCCCCAUCGCUCCCCUCCGCUUGCCGCUGUUCCCCGUCGUCCCCUGCUGCUUCCUGCCACUCACCGCCGUCCCCCGCCGCUCCCCGCUGUCCCCCACUGCUCACCACCAUUCCCCGUUGUUCCCUGUCAUUCCAUGCCGCUCGCCAUCGUUCCCCACUGCUCGCCACCGUCUCUUGUCGUCCCCCGUCAUCUCCUGUUGUCCCCCACCACUCACCACCGUUCCCCGUCGUCCCGCGCAAUCCCCCACCGCUUGCCGCCGCUCGCCAGCGUCCCCCGCCGCUCCCUGCCGUUCCCCAUCGCUCGCUGCCAUUCCCCAUCGUUCCCCGUCAUUCCCUGCUGUUCUCCAUCCCCCACGCUGUACCCCGCUGUCCUCCGUUGUUCCCCGUCGCUCCCCGUCGUCCCCCAGCACUCACCGCCGUUCCCCGUCGUCCCCCGCUGCUUGCUGCCGCUCACCGCUGGCUGUCCCCCGCUGCUCGCCGCUGUUCCCCGCCGCCCCCUGCCACUCCCUGCCGUUCCCUGUUGCUCGCCGCCAUUCCCC
rnacentral:lncRNA from 1 species